rnacentral:rRNA from 1 species
GAUGAACGCUGGCGGCGUGCCUAAUACAUGCAAGUCGAGCGAACGGACGAGAAGCUUGCUUCUCUGAUGUUAGCGGCGGACGGGUGAGUAACACGUGGAUAACCUACCUAUAAAACUGGGAUAACUUCGGGUACUCGUACCUAAUACCCGAUAAUAUUUUGAACCGAAUGGUUCAAAAGUGAAAGACGGUCUUGCUGUCACUUAUAGAUGGAUCAGCGCUGCAUUAGCUGGUUGGUAAGGUAAUGGCUAACCAAGGCAACGAUGCAUAGCGGACCUGAGAGAGGGAUCGGACACACUGGAACUGAGACACGAGCCAGACUCCUACGGGGGGCAGCCGUAGGGAAUCUUCCGCAGUGGGCGAGAGCCUGACGGAGCAACGCGGCGUGAGUGAUGAAGGUCUUCGGAUCGUAAAACUCUGUUAUUAGGGAAGAACAUAUGUGUAAGUAACUGUGCACAUCUUGACGGUACCUAAGCAGAAAGCCACGGCUAACUACGUG